GACGAACGCUGGCGGCGUGCCUAAUACAUGCAAGUAGAACGCAGUUGCGAACGGGUGUGUAACGCGUAGGUAACUGCCUGGUAGCGGGGGAUUACCAUUGGAAACGAUAGCUAAUACCGCAUACUACCAGAUGGACCUGCGUUGUAUUAGCUAGUUGGUGGGGUAACGGCUCACCAAGGCAACGAUACAUAGCCGACCUGAGAGGAUGAUCGACCACACUUGGACUGAGAGACGGCCCAGACUCCUACGGGAGGCAGCAGUAGGGAAUCUUCGGACAUGGACGGAAGUCUUACCGAGACACGACGCGGGAGGGAAGAAGGUUAUCGGGUCGUAAAGCUAUGUUGUAAGAGAAGCGGUAUCUUACCAGAAAGGGACGGCUAACUACGUGCCAGCAGCCGCGGUAAUAC
rnacentral:rRNA from 1 species